AAUAGGUUUGGUCCCAGCCUUUUUAUUAGUUUCUAGCAAAAUUACACAUGCAAGUAUCCGCACCCCAGUGAAAAUGCCCUCCAAGUCGCAAUACGAUAAAAAGGAGCAGGUAUCAAGCACGCCACAGCAGCUCACAACACCUUGCUCAGCCACGCCCCCACGGGAGACAGCAGUGAUAAAAAUUAGGCCAUAAACGAAAGUUUGACCAAAUUAUGCUAUUUAGGGUUGGUAAAUUUCGUGCCAGCCACCGCGGCCAUACGAUUAACCCUAACUAAUAAAACUACGGCGUAAAGCGUGUUUAAUAUAUAAUACUAAUAAUAAAGCCGAGUUCUAACUAAUCCGUAAAAAGUCUUAGUUAUAAUAAGACCCUUGACGAAAGUAGCUUUAAAUAUUAUGAUCCCACGACAGCUAAGAUCCAAACUGGGAUUAGAUACCCCACUAUGCUUAGCCUUAAACCCAAGAAGUUAAAACUAACAAAACUACUCGCCAGAGUACUACUAGCCAAAGCCUGAAACUCAAAGGACUUGGCGGUGCUUUACAUCCCUCUAGAGGAGCCUGUUCUAUAAUCGAUAAACCCCGAUAAACCUCACCAACCCUGGCCAAUUCCGCCUAUAUACCGCCAUCCUCAGCAAACCCUAAAAAGGAAAAACAGUAAGCUCAAGCAUACUACAUAAAAACGUUAGGUCAAGGUGUAGCUCAUGGGUUGGAAAGCAAUGGGCUACAUUCCCUGACUAACAGGUUACCAUUUUUUUUUUUUAAAAAAAAACGAAAGCCCUUGUGAAAUCAAGCACUAAAGGUGGAUUUAGCAGUAAACUAAGAGCAGAGUGCUUAGUUGAAAAGGGCCAUAAAGCACGCACACACCGCCCGUCACCCUCCUCGAUUACCUACGAUAGUUAACAAGCCAAGACUAGCACUCCAUCACAUGUACUAGAGGAGAUAAGUCGUACCAAGGUAAGCGUACUGGAAAGUGCGCUUGGAUAAUC
rnacentral:ncRNA from 1 species